AAUAGAUACCCUGGUAGUCCACGCCGUAAACGAUGAGUGCUAAGUGUUAGGGGGUUUCCGCCCCUUAGUGCUGCAGCUAACGCAUUAAGCACUCCGCCUGGGGAGUACGGUCGCAAGACUGAAACUCAAAGGAAUUGACGGGGGCCCGCACAAGCGGUGGAGCAUGUGGUUUAAUUCGAAGCAACGCGAAGAACCUUACCAGGUCUUGACAUCCCGCUGACCGCUAUGGAGACAUAGUUUUCCCUUCUGGGACAGCGGUGACAGGUGGUGCAUGGUUGUCGUCAGCUCGUGUCGUGAGAUGUUGGGUUAAGUCCCGCAACGAGCGCAACCCUUGUUCUUAGUUGCCAUCAUUAAGUUGGGCACUCUAAGGAGACUGCCGGUGAUAAACCGGAGGAAGGUGGGGAUGACGUCAAAUCAUCAUGCCCCUUAUGACCUGGGCUACACACGUGCUACAAUGGACGGUACAAACGGUUGCGAAGUCGCGAGACGGAGCCAAUCCGAGAAAACCGUUCUCAGUUCGGAUUGUAGG
rnacentral:rRNA from 1 species